rnacentral:rRNA from 1 species
GCUUACCAUGCAGUCGAACGAGAAACGGUCUAGCUUGCUAGAUGCAGUCUAAGUGGCGCACGGGUGAGUAAUAUAUAGGUAAUAUGCCUCUUACUAAGGGAUAACAGAUGGAAACGUCUGCUAAUACCUUAUAUGCCUUUAGGACUAAAGUCCGCAAGGGAAAGAUUUAUCGGUAAGAGAUUAGCCUGUACAGUAUCAGUUAGUUGGUGAGGUAAUGGCUCACCAAGACUAUGACACUUAACUGGUUUGAGAGGAUGAUCAGUCACACUGGAACUGAGACACGGUCCAGACUCCUACGGGAGGCAGCAGUGGGGAAUAUUGCACAAUGGACGGAAGUCUGAUGCAGCAACGCCGCGUGGAGGAUGACACAUUUCGGUGCGUAAACUCCUUUUAUAUGAGAAGAUAAUGACGGUAUCAUAUGAAUAAGCACCGGCUAACUCCGUGCCAGCAGCCGCGGUAAUACGGAGGGUGCAAGCGUUACUCGGAAUCACUGGGCGUAAAGAGCGUGUAGGCGGGUUGAUAAGUUUGAAGUGAAAUCCUAUAGCUUAACUAUAGAACUGCUUUGAAAACUGUUAACCUAGAAUAUGGGAGAGGUAGAUGGAAUUUCUGGUGUAGGGGUAAAAUCCGUAGAGAUCAGAAGGAAUACCGAUUGCGAAGGCGAUCUACUGGAACAUUAUUGACGCUGAGACGCGAAAGCGUGGGUAGCAAACAGGAUUAGAUACCCUGGUAGUCCACGCCCUAAACGAUGUACACUAGUUGUUGUGAGGCUCGACCUUGCAGUAAUGCAGUUAACACAUUAAGUGUACCGCCUGGGGAGUACGGUCGCAAGAUUAAAACUCAAAGGAAUAGACGGGGACCCGCACAAGCGGUGGAGCAUGUGGGUUUAAUUCGACGAUACACGAAGAACCUUACCUGACUUGACAUAGUAGACUUUCUAGA